rnacentral:rRNA from 1 species
UACGAAGGGGGCUAGCGUUGCUCGGAAUUACUGGGCGUAAAGCGCACGUAGGCGGUCUUUUAAGUCGGGGGUGAAAUCCUGGAGCUCAACUCCAGAACUGCCUUCGAUGCUGGAAGACUCGAGUCCGGGAGAGGUGAGUGAACUGCGAGUGUAGAGGUGAAAUUCGUAGAUAUUCGCAAGAACACCAGUGGCGAAGGCGGCUCACUGGCCCGGUACUGACGCUGAGGUGCGAAAGCGUGGGGAGCAAACAGG